AACGAACGCUGGCGGCAGGCUUAACACAUGCAAGUCGAGCGCCCCGCAAGGGGAGCGGCAGACGGGUGAGUAACGCGUGGGAAUCUACCUAUCUCUACGGAACAACUCCGGGAAACUGGAGCUAAUACCGUAUACUCCCUAAGGGGGAAAGAUUUAUCGGAGAUAGAUGAGCCCGCGUUGGAUUAGCUAGUUGGUGGGGUAAUGGCCUACCAAGGCGACGAUCCAUAGCUGGUCUGAGAGGAUGAUCAGCCACACUGGGACUGAGACACGGCCCAGACUCCUACGGGAGGCAGCAGUGGGGAAUAUUGGACAAUGGGCGAAAGCCUGAUCCAGCCAUGCCGCGUGAGUGAUGAAGGCCCUAGGGUUGUAAAGCUCUUUCACCGGUGAAGAUAAUGACGGUAACCGGAGAAGAAGCCCCGGCUAACUUCGUGCCAGCCGCCGCGGUAAUAC
rnacentral:rRNA from 1 species